rnacentral:rRNA from 1 species
GCAAAGCUAUGGAGACAUAGUGGAGGUUAUCAGGGAGACAGGUGGUGCAUGGUUGUCGUCAGCUCGUGUCGUGAGAUGUUGGUUAAGUCCGCAACGAGCGCAACCCUUAUUGCUAGUUACCAUCAUUGAUUGGGGACUCUAGCGAGACUGCCAGUGAUAAACUGGAGGAAGGUGGGGAUGACGUCAAAUCAUCAUGCCCCUUAUGACCUGGGCUACAAACGUGAUACAAUGGCUGAAACAAAGGGCAGCGAAGCAGUGAUGUGGAGCGAAACCCAAAAAAGCAGUCUCAGUUCGGAUUGAAGUCUGCAACUCGACUUCAUGAAGUCGGAAUCGCUAGUAAUCGCGGAUCAGAACGCCGCGGUGAAUACGUUCUCGGGGUUU